AUGACCUUCCUGGACACAGUUCCCAGGACAAGCCCCUCCGUCUUCCCGGUGGCCUCCUGCUGCAGUAAAACCAGUUCUGCUGACAAGUCCGUGACGCUGGGCUGCCUGGUCCGAGGCUACUUCCCCGAGCCAGUGACCGUGACCUGGGAUGCAGGAUCCCUGGACAAAAACGCCAUUACCUUCCCUGCUGUCUUCGACUCGACCUCUGGCCCCAACUCGACCUCCAGACUCUACGUCACCUUCAGCCAGCUGAUCGUCUCGGGCGCAUGGGCCAAACAGAAGUUCACCUGCAGCGUGGUGCACGCCGGGUCCACCCCCAUCAACAAAACCUUUCUUGCAUGUGCCAUAAACUUCACCCAGCCCACUGUGAAACUCUUCCACUCCUCCUGUGACCCCCUCGGUAACACCCACGCGACCAUCCAGCUCCUGUGCCUCAUCUCCGACUACACCCCAGGUGACAUUGAGGUCACCUGGCUGGUGGAUGGGCAGAAGACCAAGAACAUGUUUCCAUACACCAGUCCCCCCAAGCAGGAGGGCAAGCUGGCCUCCUCCUACAGCCAGCUCAACAUCACCCAGGGCCAGUGGACUUCCCAGAGCACCUACACCUGCCAGGUCAACUACAUGGGCAACACCUACGAGGGCAAUGCCCGUGACUGCCCAGAGUCCGAGCCCCGUGGUGUGAGCGUCUACUUGAUCCCGCCCACUCCCCUCGACCUGUACAUCCACAAGUCGCCCAAGAUCACCUGCCUGGUGGUGGACCUGGCCAGCAUAAAGGGCAUGGUCAUGCAGUGGUCCCGGGAGAACGAGGUCCUCGAGAAGAAGGCCACAGAGAACCACAAGCAGCACUUCAACAUGACUUUUACUGUCACGUCCACCCUGCCAGUGGACGCCAAUGACUGGAUCGAGGGCGUGACCUACCAGUGCAAAGUGACCCACCCACAGCUGCCCAAGGACAUCGUGCGCACCAUCUCCAAGGCCCCCGGCAAGCGAGCUGCCCCUGAGGUCUACGCGUUCCUGCCUCCCGAGGAGAAACAGGGAACCAAGGACAUGGUCACCCUCACCUGCUUGAUCCAGAAUUUCUUCCCCGCCGACAUCUCUGUGCGGUGGCUGCAGGACAACACCCCGAUUCAGACCGACCAGCACACCACCACGGGGCCCCUCAAGGCCAACAGCUCCAGCCCCGCUUUCUUUGUCUUCAGCCGCCUGGAGGUCCGCCAGGCGGACUGGGAGAAGAGCAAAUUCACCUGCCAAGUGGUCCACGAGGCGUUGACUGGCUCCAGGACCCUGGAGAAAUCGGUGUCCAAAGACCCCGAGCUGGACCUCCAGGACCUGUGUGUGGGGACAGCCGAGAGUGAGGAGCUGGACGGGCUGUGGACCAGCCUCUUCACGUUCAUCGCGCUCUUCCUGCUCAGCGUCACCUACGGUGCCUCUGUCACCGUCUUCAAGGUGAAGUGGGUCUUCGCCGCCCUCCUGCAGGAGCCCCAGCCCACCCACGACUACGCGAACGUGCGGCCGCCAGCCUGGGCCUGGAGGGUGAGCAGCGCAGGCCUCCAUUCCGCCCUCCCCACGUCUGAGCAUCGCUGA